rnacentral:rRNA from 1 species
GCUGACGAGUGGCGCACGGGUGAGUAACGCGUAUGCAACCUACCUUUCACAGUGGGAUAGCCCAGAGAAAUUUGGAUUAAUACCGCAUAGUAUACGGGACCAGCAUUGGACCUGUAUUAAACAUUUAUGGGUGAGAGAUGGGCAUGCGUUCUAUUAGUUAGUUGGUAAGGUAACGGCUUACCAAGACCGCGAUAGAUAGGGGCCCUGAGAGGGGGAUCCCCCACACUGGUACUGAGACACGGACCAGACUCCUACGGGAGGCAGCAGUGAGGAAUAUUGGACAAUGGGCGCAAGCCUGAUCCAGCCAUGCCGCGUGCAGGAAGACGGCCCUAUGGGUUGUAAACUGCUUUUAUACAGGAAGAAACACCCCGACGUGUCGGGACUUGACGGUACUGUAAGAAUAAGGAUCGGCUAACUCCGUGCCAGCAGCCGCGGUAAUACGGAGGAUCCAAGCGUUAUCCGGAAUCAUUGGGUUUAAAGGGUCCGUAGGUGGACGAUUAAGUCAGAGGUGAAAUCCUGCAGCUCAACUGUAGAAUUGCCUUUGAAACUGGUUGUCUUGAAUCAUUAUGAAGUGGUUAGAAUAUGUGGUGUAGCGGUGAAAUGCAUAGAUAUCACAUAGAAUACCGAUUGCGAAGGCAGAUCACUAAUAAUGUAUUGACACUGAUGGACGAAAGCGUGGGGAGCGAACAGGAUUAGAUACCCUGGUAGUCCACGCCGUAAACGAUGGAUACUAGUUGUUCGGGCUUCGGCCUGAGUGACUAAGCGAAAGUGAU